ACGGGUGAGUAACACGUGGGUAACCUGCCCAAGAGACUGGGAUAACACCUGGAAACAGAUGCUAAUACCGGAUAACAACACUAGACGCAUGUCUAGAGUUUAAAAGAUGGUUCUGCUAUCACUCUUGGAUGGACCUGCGGUGCAUUAGCUAGUUGGUAAGGUAACGGCUUACCAAGGCAAUGAUGCAUAGCCGAGUUGAGAGACUGAUCGGCCACAUUGGGACUGAGACACGGCCCAAACUCCUACGGGAGGCAGCAGUAGGGAAUCUUCCACAAUGGACGCAAGUCUGAUGGAGCAACGCCGCGUGAGUGAAGAAGGGUUUCGGCUCGUAAAGCUCUGUUGGUAGUGAAGAAAGAUAGAGGUAGUAACUGGCCUUUAUUUGACGGUAAUUACCUAGAAAGUCACGGCUAACUACGUGCCAGCAGCCGCGGUAAUACGUAGGUGGCAAGCGUUGUCCGGAUUUAUUGGGCGUAAAGCGAGUGCAGGCGGUUCAAUAAGUCUGAUGUGAAAGCCUUCGGCUCAACCGGAGAAUUGCAUCAGAAACUGUUGAACUUGAGUGCAGAAGAGGAGAGUGGAACUCCAUGUGUAGCGGUGGAAUGCGUAGAUAUAUGGAAAAACACCAGUGGCGAAGGCGGCUCUCUGGUCUGCAACUGACGCUGAGGCUCGAAAGCAUGGGUAGCGAACAGGAUUAGAUACCCUGGUAGUCCAUGCCGUAAACGAUGAGUGCUAAGUGUUGGGAGGUUUCCGCCUCUCAGUGCUGCAGCUAACG
rnacentral:rRNA from 1 species